CAUUAAAGAGUUCUAUAACUCCCAAACCCAUGUGAACAUACCUAACGUUGCCUCGGCAGGUCGCACCUACCUUGUAGCACCCUACCCUGUAGGGCCUACCCGGGAGGUGCGGGUAAGCCUGCCGGCGGCCCACCAAACUCUGUUUGAUAUUGAAUUCUGAACCUAUAACUAAAUAAGUUAAAACUUUCAACAACGGAUCUCUUGGUUCUGGCAUCGAUGAAGAACGCAGCGAAAUGCGAUAAGUAAUGUGAAUUGCAGAAUUCAGUGAAUCAUCGAAUCUUUGAACGCAUAUUGCGCCCAUUAGUAUUCUAGUGGGCAGGACCGUUCGAGCGUCAUUUCAACCCUUAAGCCUUCGUUGCUUAGUGUUGGGAGCCUACGGCAACGUAGCUCCUCAAAGUUAGUGGCGGAGUUGGUUCACACUCUAGACGUAGUAAUUUUUUAUCUCGCCUAUUAGUUGGACUAAUCCCCUGCCGUAAAACCCCCAAUUUAUCAAGGUUGACCUCGAAUCGGUUCAGACAAACUCGCUAAAUUGAAGCAUCUUAGUCAGCGAAGGAAAAGAAACCAACAGGGAUUGCCCUAGUAACGGCGAGUGAAGCGGCAACAGCUCAAAUUUGAAAUCUGGCC
rnacentral:rRNA from 1 species